CGCAAAUUGAUCUUCAUAGAUUUAGCUAAUGAAAUAAAUGCUCUAACGCAAGAAAAAAUAGCAUUCUUAUACAUGAGACUCAUGAGCCUUCUUCCUUAUAUAUACAUACAUACAUACAUAUAUAUAUAUAUAUAAUGGCGACCUUGUAAUGAAAAAUACAAGAGCUCGUGGCACACCUUAUUUCUAACCAUAAGAAGAUGGAAACAAAGAAGACGACCUUGACUUACUGCUAACCACAAAUUUUGCUUCAUGAUUUUAAUUUGUUGCAAAAUUUUAUCCAUUUUCAGGCCCCCCUGCUGUCGAUGUCUUCACAAAAUUUUCAUAAUAAUGCUGCAGGGAGAGUAGAAAUAUAUUUAAUACUUGGAUCCAGCUAACUUUCCGCAGGUGAAAGGUUACUCCAGAUUUUAUCGUGACUUGAAAGCACCAUCAUCAUAAAUAUUAAUGUCAAAUAUACUUCUACAGGAAUCGUAAAUAUUUGUAACAGUCCAUAACAGUGAAAGCAGUGUAUACACUUCUAACAAUAACACAUUUUCCAAGCUUUAAAGUUCGUUACAAUUGGUACCUUUACAGAGAAUUCAUGGUCGAGGUCUGGUAAAGAUGUAAAACUCAUCGUAUCCCCUCCUGCAGUGAAGAUAAUUGAUAUACAGCAAUCAAGUUCAGGAAUUUAUGUGAAAAUAUUAAUUGAACUAGCAUCGAAGUCGAAUGACAGGAAAUAUUGGUUACCCA
rnacentral:lncRNA from 1 species